rnacentral:lncRNA from 1 species
GCUAGUUUAAAGAAAGAACAAAUCUCAUAAGUAUCAGAAAAAGAAACAGCUAAAAACCCCAAUAAACCCCAAAACUUAAGAACUUCAAUAGAUCAGUUCAACCCCUCAAAUAACCAUUGCCCACAUUGUCCCAAAUAACAUUACCAACAAAAAUUCAUAAGAAUUGUGCAUCCUGAGUGGGAACUCGUACUCAACAAUCAAGGAAAAAGAAUCUCAUUACAGAACACAAUUACGAUCAAGUAGAUGAGAAAACAGAGGAUCAUAAAUUCGCAUCAUUGAUUUCUAAAGGUAGAAAUUAAAUAUUCUUGUUGUUAGAAUGUGUAUCCAAAAUACAAGCAUAUGCUGUCUUUUUCUUUAAAAAAAUCUGCAUCAGUGAAUUAAUCAGCAAACUAAAUCAUCAGAUUCACAAGGCUCCAAAGAUUUAGGAAAAGAGAAGAUUAGAAAAAGCAGAGUUACCAGCUUCCUCAGCUCUUCUAGAUUCCAAAUCAAGUCCUCCUCCAUUACCAAGACGAUUCCCAUGCUGUUGAAGCACGUCCUCCACCACCGAU